AUCCAUGUCCGAAAUUUAUCGUGGACAGGCUUUAUAACAGACGUUUUUGUUUCAACAAGUUCAAAGCUCGUUCUAUGGAACGAGUUCAUUUUCCGAAAAUCCCUUGUUACAUUGCUCUUGUAGCAGUCACUCACCGCGAAUUCCCCGUGUCUGUAUCCGUUUAAUUUGCCUCCCACGGUGUUCCAUCAGGAGAAAGCGUAGGUACCUCGAUGUGCUACUUCUACGCAGUUCAGUCUCGCGUUCACGUGUCGAUGCUCCGUCUCGCACAGUUGGUGGAUCGACGACCUUUCCGAUUUGCUGUCCCACGGAAUGAAUUGCGCGGAAUUUUGCUACGAUGACGGCGGUGACAUUUCAUAAAGUCUGGAAAAUCGUUUUAACGACAUGCAUCACAACAUGUUGACGCCCCGCUCCGGUUGCUGAUAAAUGGAAGAAUGGUAUGCGGUGACAUGCUUUUCCCUGUGUGUGACUUGUAUGACGGUGUAACAUUCGGAUGAAGGCAACGUUUGAUGGUGUUUUCCAUGGAAAUAGGAUUAAGACGAUGGUCGAUGACAUGAUUGUAUGAAUAAACCACGAGGACAAAUGA